rnacentral:rRNA from 1 species
GACGAACGCUGGCGGCGUGCCUAAUACAUGCAAGUAGAACGCUGAAGGAGGAGCUUGCUUCUCUGGAUGAGUUGCGAACGGGUGAGUAACGCGUAGGUAACCUGCCUGGUAGCGGGGGAUAACUAUUGGAAACGAUAGCUAAUACCGCAUAAGAGUAGAUGUUGCAUGACAUUUGCUUAAAAGGUGCAAUUGCAUUAUUACCAGAUGGAGCUGCGUUGUAUUAGCUAGUUGGUGAGGUAACGGCUCACCAAGGCGACGAUACAUAGCCGGCCUGAUGAGGGGGUCGGCCAAAACGGGACUGGGACCCGGCCCAGACUCCUACGGGGGGCAGCAGGAGGGGAACUUCGGCAAUGGACGGAAGUCUGACCGAGCAACGCCGCGGGAGGGAAGAAGGGUUUCGGAUCGUAAAGCUCUGUUGUAAGGGAAGAACGAGUGUGAGAGUGGAAAGUUCACACUGUGACGGUAUCUUACCAGAAAGGGACGGCUAACUACGUG